UUAGUACUCCCUCCGUCCGAAAAUACUUGUCAUCAAAAUGAAUAAAAGGGGAUGUAUCUAGAUGUAUUUUAGUUCUAGAUACACCCCUUUUUGUCCAUUUUGAUGACAAGUAUUUUCGGACGGAGGGAGUACCUG
rnacentral:pre_miRNA from 1 species